rnacentral:rRNA from 1 species
GACGAACGCUGGCGGCGUGCUUAACACAUGCAAGUCGAACGGAGUGGCGAACGGGUGAGUAACACGUGGGUGAUCUGCCUUGCACUUAGGGAUAAGCUUGGGACACUGGGUCUAAUACCGGAUAGUGCAAGAUGAGCUCGCGGCCUAUCAGCUUGUUGGUGGGGUAAUGGCCGACCAAGGCGUCGACGGGUAGCUGGCCUGAGAGGGUGGACGGACACAUUGGGACUGAGAUACGGCCCAGACUCCUACUGGAGGCAGCAGUGGGGAAUAUUGCACAAUGGUCGGAAGCCUGAUGCAGCGACGCCGCGGGGGGGAUGAAGGCCUUCGGGUUGUAAACUCCUUUCGACAGGGACGCGGUACCUGUAUAAGAAGCACCGGCUAACUACGUGCCAGCCGCCGCGGUAAUAC